CAUUCAGCAGCUACCAUGAAUUGGGUCAGACAGGCUCCUGGAAAAGGACUGGAAUGGAUCGCUUUUGUACACACAGGCAGUUCUCAUUUCUAUUACUCCCAGUCAGUCCAGGGGAGAUUCACCAUCUCCAGAGAUGACUCCAGCAGUAAAGUCUAUCUGCAGAUGAACAGUCUGAAGACCGAGGACACAGCAGUGUAUUACUGUGCCCGAGAGACACACUACACUGCUUUUGACUACUGGGGAAAGGGUACAACAGUAACUGUUUCAUCAGCCACUCCAACUGCACCAACUGUGUAUCCUCUGAUGCAAUGUGGUUCUGGGACCGGAGACAUGGUCACUCUUGGCUGCCUUGCCACUGGCUUCACACCCUCCUCACUGACCUACACAUGGAACAAAGCGAAUGGGGCUGCCUUGACAGACUUCAUUCAGUACCCUCCGGUGCAGAAAGGCAACGUUUAUACUGGAGUCAGUCAAAUCCGAGUGAGGAGAGAGGACUGGGACGCAAGGGAGACUUUCAAAUGUGCCGUGGAACAUGCAUCAGGACAGCCAAAAGAGUGUAUUUUCCAAAAGCCACACGAGUCUUGUUAUCCGCCAACCCUUAGUAUGUUGGCCUCCUCUGAGGAGGGAACCGAGGCUUUCUUCUCCUGCUUUGCCAAAGAUUUUUCACCAAAAGAUUAUGAGAUCAAAUGGCUGAAAAAUGAAGUGGAAAUUGUCAGCAAAAUAGAUGAGAUCAAAACACAUGAGGGAAGAAAGGACAUUAAUGGAACGUCACUGUACAGCGCAGCAAGUUUUCUCACUGUUAAAUCCGAUGAGCUGGAGGAAAACACUGAGGUUAUGUGCAAGUUUAAAGGGAAACGUCAAACGUGUCCAACGGAGGUUAAUUCAACUGUGCUCUACCAACCAUCCCGUCCAAUUGGAGGUGAAGUAUGUCUUGAAGCAGAUGUGGAGGUAGAUAUCAUAGAACCCACAAUGGAGGACAUGUUUUCACAUGAUGGAAAAGGAAACAUAACAUGUCAGGUCAAGAUUAACAAACCAUCCGUCAGUGAAAUUUCAUGGGAGACCCACAAUGGACGCACAAUACUUCAUCCUUCAGUAGUACCCCCUAAAGGAAGUAAAGGCUUAUUUAGAGCUUCACUUCCCAUCACGUAUGAUGAAUGGAGCCAGGGGACAAAGUUUGUGUGCAAAGUGGAACAUAGUGAGUGGAUUGAACCACUUAAGAAAACUUACGGAAGGAUUGUAGGAGGACAGAUUCAGCGUCCUUCAGUGUUUAUGCUACCUCCACUAGAACAUACUAACAAGGAAAUGGUGACCCUGACUUGCUAUGUGAAAGACUUCUUCCCUCGGGAGGUUUUCGUUUCUUGGCUUGUUGAUGACGAGGAAGCAGGCUCAGAAUAUAAGUUCCAUACCACAAACCCUGUAGAAAACCAUGGAUCCUAUUCUGCUUAUGGCCAGUUAAUUCUCACCCUUGAUCAGUGGAAAAAAGAUGACACGGUGUAUAGCUGUGUAGUUCACCAUGAGUCUGUAGUUAACACAACUAAAGCCAUUGUCAGGUCCAUCGGGCACAGAACAUUUGAAAAAACCAACAUGGUCAACCUCAACAUGAACAUCCCUGAAACAUGCAAGGCCUAGUAGAUGUUAUUCUGUGUCGCUGUGUCUUCUGUUGUUUGGUGUUUAAUGUUUGUUGCUUGUGAUUUGACAUUGUGUUUGUCUUUUUAAUGCAUAUU